AGUAAUGUGGCUUAGCGGAAAAAGUCUGGGCCUGGGAAUCAGAGGACCUGGGUUCUAAUCCCAGCUUUACCA
rnacentral:tRNA from 1 species